AGCCAGGAAUUGUUCCCCUGUACAGGAACAAAAAAACACAUUUUUGCCUUGAGGAAUCCGCGUCUGGGUCCGUACGCGCUCCCGCCAGCUAAAUCCCUAAUUAUCAUGAGAAUGUCCUCCACCCGGGACCGGCCUCACAUUACCAAAUCAUGCCAUGUCUCUCUCCCAUAGUUUCUGAAAGUGUGUGCUGGUAUGUGUGUGAAAGGAUUGUGGUCAGUGCUUUUCCGCAGCCGAGCGCUUGAUUUUCUAUUCUCUUGUUCCUCUCUUGUGAGUCUUAAGUUCCAUGUAGCCAAGAAUGUUCACCCAAGUUUCAUGGGACCCUUUGACGAAAAGGGUAAGUGACCAGUUUUUUUUGGGGGGGAGGGGUGUUUGGUGCAUCCGGGGCCACAAAGUGAAGGUAGAGCGCUUUUCGAAAAAAAGAAACAAAUAUUUCUUCAGCAAACAAACCUCACACGUUACCUCUUCUCAAAGUGAACGUCUUCGCCUCGAUUCAUUCUACAAGAAGCUCUCCCAAGUCAUCUCUUGGAAUCUGCACAGUCCCUCGUGAGUGCCAAGCCGAGGGAACAGUGCUCCCUUUGAUACCCCAACGAGGACCGUCCUUGUGCUCUAAACGCUGAGACACGGAUAUAAAGACUGGAUGUUGCGAGGUGAAAUGUCCUAACGGUUGCCUCGCUCAUGUAGAAGCCAACAGACACACGAGUCGUUUUCGUUUUUCUACAUACUUGCCUUGCAGAUGGAAAACUUGAUUUCAAAUUGUUUUCUCUUUUUGUAACGUGUCAUUCAAGAGUGCUAAAUGUGACCGUGCCAUUUUGUUGAUGAGGAUGACUCUGCAUGUCAUGUGCAUGAAGCGUACCACGAUCCGUGAAAAUACUCCAUGUGGGUAGUUUAGUACUUCAUGCUUUUAUUUCACUCCUGCCGUGCUGAACUGUAUAAGGCCCAGUGCCUUUUCAGACGUGUUGAGGCAAAAAAGGAUGAUUCAAACAAGGGAUUUUCUUAAUUGACUCAAUGAAACAAUCGAUAUGUGAUCGUGAACCCUGCUGUUGUGUUUAAUUACACGCAAGAGAGCUACAUACUGCUGGACAAAGUUUUAAAUCCAAACGCUCAUGUUGCUCUCUGAGACAUUCACCGUACUUCUGCUGUUUCUCAUUUGCACCUUUUUGUUAUUACCUCUUGUGUACGAAUGACACAGGACGUGGUGGUGAUUUUGAGUAAGCAUGAUUUCUAUAUAUGUUUUUUUUAAACGCCUAUGUACUUUUGAUGUGUACACAUUCUUUUCAAUCUAUUUCCAUUACAUUCUGUUCUCGUCCAUCCUCCCUGAGUGAUCAAACAAGCUGAUGUUUCUUAUCAAAAGGGAGAUUAAUCUGUCAUGUGAUGGUCUGUUAGUGCAUAGCUGCUCUAUGGUAAAUCCGCCUGUAUUUAAACCAGCAAG
ensembl:lncRNA